CUUUAGGACAAUAUACUAAGAAGUUAAUUAAAGUCCUCCUCUUCUGAUCUGUCCAUCCAUCAGCCAUUAAUGUGCAACCAGUCUUCUUCCAAAUCUCUCGAUAACUCUCAACAUAAAUCUUCACUUCAUCAACCUUUUGCCAAGUAAUAGCCACGGAUAGCAUGCAAGUUUGGUCCUUUAUAACCAGGACCCAUGGCUGUUACAGCAUCUAUGGCAUGCUGAUAAUACACAGAGUUAACAGCAUUAAAUGGCACACAUGCAUCAAACAUCCACUUCGCUAAAGCAAGAUCACACCGUUCAACUGCUUCUUUCCUUUGCCAACAGUUCUGAAGAGACUU
rnacentral:lncRNA from 1 species